UGUAUCUUCGAGUGAAUUUGAGAAACAAAAUCCGACAAAUGAUUCAGUUUGUGUGUUUACAAGCUAAGCUAUUGGGAGAUUGAAGCCAAGGCACAUUAACUUCAAAUUGGGGAUUCUGACAAAUUUUGAUGCUUGAAAACGGCAUUCAGCUUCAGCCCAUUCGCCUGGCUCGUCGUCUCCGCUGAACGGAUCCCAUGGCCAGCUUUGUUUCUGUUUCUAAGUUGUUCGUUGGCUGGAAGCCAACCCCACUAUCAAAUUUACCUGCGCGCGACUCCUUCAGCAGUUCGAAUUCUCUAAGAACCAAUGCUCUCUCAGUGAAAUCCGAUUACUCUUGCUUUGAAGUUAGGGAUUUAAGCUAUCGACCUCCAGGGACCGAGCAUUCUCUUCUCGACACAGUUAAUUUUUCCCUUCGAGAGAAAAGUUUUGGGUUAAUUUUUGGACAAAGUGGAAGUGGGAAAACUACUUUAUUGCAGCUUCUUGCAGGUCUGAGCAAGCCAACUUCUGGUUCCGUUUAUGUCCAAAAGUACGGUAAAGAUGACAAACCAUGUCAGUCUUCUCAACCGUUAACCACUGAUAGGGUUGGCAUUGUCUUUCAAUUUCCAGAGAGGUACUUUGUUGCAGACAACGUGCUAGAUGAAGUCACAUUUGGGUGGCCGCGGCAGAAGAGUGAUGUUUAUUUGAAACAGGACCUUGCCUUGAGACUCCAAAGAGCAAUUAAUUGGGUGGGAUUAAAUGGCAUACCCUUGGACAAAGAUCCUCACUCUCUCAGUGGUGGCUACAAGCGCCGUCUUGCCUUGGCAAUCCAACUGGUGCAGUUCCCAGAUCUGUUAUUACUGGAUGAGCCUCUAGCUGGUCUUGAUUGGAAGGCUCGUGCUGAUGUUGUGAAGCUUUUAAAGAAUCUAAAGAAAGACUUAACUGUACUUGUCGUCAGCCAUGAUCUCAAAGAGUUUGCUGGCUUGGUUGACUAUUCAUGGAGAAUGGAAAUGGGCGGUGUUCUUAGAGAAGAAGCUCUGCCUGUUUAAUUUGUAAUUUUUGACUAUGCGUUCAUGCUGUGAGUAUAAUUUCCUGCUGUUAUGGCUUCUUUAUUAUUUUCUCUUGCUUCUUCCAUUUCUGUUCACAAAAGCUUGCGACAGUCUGGUGGCCAAGCUUGUGUUGGAUUUUCUAAAAUGAACUGUUCUUUAUCUAGUCAUGUAGCUAUGAGAACUAAAAUUUGUCAGUUUACCAGGAGGAGAAUAUCCAUGUUUAUACCAUGGAAUCAACCACAGCUGUGUACACUGGUGCAGUUUCAUUCACGCUUUUGCGAGUCACUGCAUCAACUCAAGGACCAAAACUGGUCGUAGAUUCGCAAGGUUAUGGUAACCAACCCAUAUUGAAUUGCCUCUGUUUCUAAUGGGGAAGUUUUCGAAUCGUUGUACAUCCAAUAAUAGUGUCAGAACUUUAAAACAACAUAUAUGCCGAAACAAUUUUGGACUGAAGUCUUUUUCCAAAUCUUCAACAUACUAGACUUUGUUAUUA